AAGCUUGAAGAGCAGCAGGCGGAAUCGAAGAAGGCAAAAGCUUGUUCCUUGGAUAGAAACAGGACAGAUCAAUUAAAUAAGUGCAGUACCUGAAAUAAGCAAAUGCAGAUCAAUUAUUUCAUCUAACAUUGCAGCUCUAUCCGUCUAAUCAAGAGAAAAAGCACAAUAAUAUUAAAAAUGUUGGAACAAUUCAGUGUUAUUGUCUUUUUAAUGAAACAGAGGGCGGUCAUGCAAACAGAGCAAAACUACCUUCAAAGAAAUUAUUAAAAGAAAUAUCCCCUGAAACCAGUAGAUUAAUUUCAAGCUUCAAGAAGUAUAAAAAAUUUAGUACACAUCAAGUCAAAAUAUGUGGGCAUGGUAUCCCUCUUUUUAUCCUUUUCAAGCAUGUUUUUGUUAUUUAUGCUCAAUGAAACAAUUGCAUGAAAAGUGGAUCAGGAGAUUUAAUUUAUAUGUGGAGUUGCGGACAAGCACAAUCUUAAACUGAUUUGACAACUCAAUAGGUCCAGAGGCAGAUGCCAUAUUCUAAAUCCAAAGAACACAUUUAGUCAUUUAUAUGAAAAUAAUUUUCAAGGUGCCAAUUCGCUACAUAAAUUACAUUAUAUAUAUAUAUAUAUAUA